rnacentral:rRNA from 1 species
UACGGGAGGCAGCAGUAGGGAAUAUUGGACAAUGGGCGAAAGCCUGAUCCAGCAAUGCCGCGUGAGUGAUGAAGGCCUUAGGGUUGUAAAGCUCUUUUACCCGGGAUGAUAAUGACAGUACCGGGAGAAUAAGCCCCGGCUAACUCCGUGCCAGCAGCCGCGGUAAU